rnacentral:misc_RNA from 1 species
GAAAUGCGAUACGUAAUGCGAAUUGCAGAAUUCAGUGAAUCAUCAAAUCUUUGAACGCAACUUGCGCCCCUUGGUUAGCCCUUGGGGCAUACUUCUCUGAGUAUCGUUUCAAACCAAACUCGCCUGCGUGCUUGAAAGAGCAUAGUCAGUGCGGAUAAUGAGUGUCAUAGGCUUAAUCGACUACGUCACUUCAAAUAAAUGGCGCUUAAGGUCAACGCUGUUGAGGCUUCUUCACGGAGGCUUCACUUCGCUGAUGUUUGAUAAAAUUCACUUCGGUGGACUCUUCUUAUAUCGGUGAGGAUGCAUUGUACACUUUAGGCUAAACAAAGACAACAGAUGGGAAUGCAAAUUCUUAUCUUGACUCUGAUCUCAGAUGAAGUAAGAUUACCCGCCGAAUUUA